AGAGUUUGAUCAUGGCUCAGGACGAACGCUGGCGGCGUGCCUAAUACAUGCAAGUCGAGCGAACAUUUGAGAGCUUGCUCUCAAAUGUUAGCGGCGGACGGGUGAGUAACACGUGGGCAACCUGCCUAUAAGACUGGGAUAACUUCCGGAAACCGGAGCUAAUACCGGAUAAUUCACAUNUACUCAUGUAGAUGUGCUGAAAGACGGUUUCGGCUGUCACUUAUAGAUGGGCCCGCGGCGCAUUAGCUAGUUGCCCAGACUCCUACGGGAGGCAGCAGUAGGGAAUCUUCCGCAAUGGACGAAAGUCUGACGGAGCAACGCCGCGUGAGUGAUGAAGGUUUUCGGAUCGUAAAACUCUGUUGUUAGGGAAGAACAAGUACCGGAGUAACUGCCGGUACCUUGACGGUGUGAGGUAACGGCUCACCAAGGCCACGAUGCGUAGCCGACCUGAGAGGGUGAUCGGCCACACUGGGACUGAGACACGG
rnacentral:rRNA from 1 species